ensembl:lncRNA
GGUGUCUCCCGCGGCCGGACAACUGAGAUGAGAAGAGGGACCUCGAUGACCAAGCACUUAGGUGGCCGCUUAAAACGCAAGAAACCGAGCCAACGAGAACCAGUCUGACAGCGAUCCCUGCAUGCUCCGGAAAAAGAAUUGGACUACACCUCCCUGACUGCACUGGAUUCAACUCACUCCGUUUCGACUGACACUCCAACCAGAACCUUGAGUAAUGACUUCAAUCAAGCUGAGGAUUUCAACGUAGAUCUUCAAUCAAACAAAUCUCAUCUAACAUGGACUAGACAUAACUCAUUAGAGACUUUCCCUGUACUAGCAUUUUUUCCCACAGGACCCCCACAUGACUACCAUCGUCCCAUUUCAGCAGGAAAUAACCUAGAAGAUGCUACGCCCCGUUCCCCAUUAUUGUUUAUUAGGGUAGUGUAAGCCUAGUUAAGAAUGACCUUCUUAUUGUUUAGAGUUGGGAUUGGAAGAAGGUGUUCAAGUUAGACACCUUUUCCACAUGACUUUAAGACUUAGCUGGAAUAGACAUAGGAUGUGCCAUAGCAGAUUAUUGUAUCUUCUUGUAUUUCACCUUUAUGAUUGUUAGUUUUGGAUAUUUUACACUAUUAAGUUUUAAUCCUCUUUUAGACUAAAAGGGGAAUUGUAGGGACACCCUAGCACUGCCCAAUAGUCCUGGGACAGGUGCCAGGUAGACUCGGGACUCACCCAUAAGGGCGUGGUGAAAGAAAGCCGAGGUGACAUAAGUGAGCUUCUUAAGGGCUGCACGUGGAGACCCUAGCCCCUUCUUUCUGGCCGCGCUAGCUGGGUUCCUGUGACCUCGCUCUGGCCUGCGCUUUGCUCUGGUGCUUUCUUGAAUAAAGAAAUCUUACCAUCACGGACUACAGUUCAUCUUUGAGCACACGCUGCACACUAUAAUCUUCAGAACACUGCAGUGCAAAGUGAUAGAAGAAGAAACCUGGCAGAAAAGCAUGAAAAUCUAAUUUUGGUUGAGAGCUUUGAUUCACAUAGUAAAGCCCAGAAAGAUAUUUAACUGUUUGUGCAUAUGUGUUCAUCAUGUGUGUGAACCUGCCAUGACACACAUGUAGAGAUCAGAGGACAACUUACAGGACUUGGCAUCCCUGGAUUAAAGCUCAGAUCAUCAGCCUGGGCACCGUGUACCUUCCCACUGACCGUCUGUCUGUCUGUCUGUCUAUCUAUCUAUCUAUCUAUCUAUCUAUCUACCUAUCUAUCCUUGUGUGUGUGUGUGUGUACACACACAGUGUUUUCCUUUUUUAAUAAAGAUUAGACAUGACUACUUCAAAACUUUUUUUUUUUAAAGAGUUAUUAUGUCUACAGCACUCUGCCAGUAUGUACACCUACAGGCCAAAAGAGGACACUAGAUCUUAUUAAAGAUGGUUUUGAGCCACCAUGUGGUUGCUGGGAAUUGAACUCAGGUCCUCUGAAAGAGCAGCCAGUGCUCUUAACCACUGAGUCAUCUCUCCAGUCUCACUGUGUUUCCUUUUUGGCAGUGUUGAGUACUAAAUCCAGAGCUUCUGAUAUACUAAACAAGUAUUCUACCACUGAGAUCUGUGCCCAGUUCCUGGGCUUUGUUUAGGUAGUUGGUUGGUUGGUUGGGUUUUGGUUUUCUUGAGACAGGGUGUCUAUAUAUGUAGCUCAGGCUGGCCUUAAAUCCACAGGGAUCCUUCUGCUUUAGUUGUCUGAGUUUUGGGACUACAGGUGUGCGCCACCACAAAUCUAGCUUGUAAAACAGAAUCUUAAUUAUCUUAGAAACACACACAGCUUGAGUCAUGGAAUGGUCAUUUACACUGUGUUUGUUGUUUUGUGAGUUUUGUUCUUGGUUCUUUUGGUUUGGUUUGGUUUGGUUUUUUCAAGACAGGGUUCCUCUGUGUAGCCCUGCCUGUCCUGGAACUCACUCUGUAGACCAAGCUGGCCUUGAACUCAGAACUCAGAGAUUCUCCUGUCUCUGCCUCCUGUAUGCUGGGAUUAAAGAAAGGCAUGAGCCACCACUGUCUGUAGGCUGUUUUGUUGUUUUUUGUAUUUUUGUUUUUUGUUUUUGUUUUUUUUUGUUUUUGUGUGUGUGUGUGUGUG